AAUGGACCGUAUCAGACUCAUAGUCUGACUAGAAUCUGACUAUGACAACGUCAGGCUAGUGUUUGACAGUUUU